CAGGAAUUCAAAGUUAACACACUUGCUGCAAGACUCACUAAGUAUGCAAUUUUCUUCUCCUUGUGCCGGUAUGGUUUGAAGCUAUUCUUUAGUUUUGGUGAUAAUGUGUGUAAAGCACUGCAGGGCGAGCGGGAUAGAGCUUGGACAGGCAAAGAAACAAGUUGAUGUUGGAGAACUGUCAAGAUAUAAGUUGAUGGUAUGCUCCAGUGAGAAGGGUCAACAAGGUUUCACUACAAUUCUGUGCUUCGGAAAUGAUUUCAAACUUCCAAUUCCCCGUAACAGUAAAGUGGGGCAACAAGGUUGACUUUAUUCAUGCGCUGGAAAUCAAAAAUAUAUAGAGGAUGUGUGAUAUGGAUUCAAGAUGCAUGUUGAUUCAUGAAGAUUGGUAAUUCCGAUUAUUUGUAUGAGUAAGGAAUUAGAUGCUAUCCAUUUCAUGUGAAAUUUGAAAUUUUAAACAAAUUUAUCAUAUAUUUAGUUA